UACGGAGGGCGCGAGCGUUACCCGGAUUUACUGGGCGUAAAGGGCGUGUAGGCGGCCUGGGGCGUCCCAUGUGAAAGGCCACGGCUCAACUGUGGAGGAGCGUGGGAUACGCUCAGGCUAGACGGUGGGAGAGGGUGGUGGAAUUCCCGGAGUAGCGGUGAAAUGCGCAGAUACCGGGAGGAACGCCGAUGGCGAAGGCAGCCACCUGGCUCACAUGUGACGAUGAGGCGCGAAAGCGUGGGGAGCAAACCGG
rnacentral:rRNA from 1 species